GUAGGUGAACCUGCGGAAGGAUCAUUACCAAAUCCAAAACUUUAUCAACCCCUAAUGUGCACUGAGAAUGGUUCCGUUCCCUGCCUCUUGGGGCCUGCUCCGGCAGGUGGGGAAUGUAUUUUUUACAAUAAAACACCUUUUCAACCAUUUUUAACCACGUUUAUGCUGAAAGCAAAACAAAAACGAAACAUGAGACAACUUUUAACGGUGGAUCUCUUGGCUCGUGCAUCGAUGAAGAACGCAGCAUCUG
rnacentral:misc_RNA from 1 species